rnacentral:lncRNA from 1 species
GGACGUCAACUCAAGCUAAUGCCCUAGGGGGAAGCUAGGUCAAGCUUUAGCGGCAACUGAAAUCAAAGGAACAAUAGCGAGAGUAGGGAAACAUCCUGCAGAAAUAGGGUUUCAGAUGACACAGCUUUGCAAUCAAUUGUGUGAGGUUCAGAAGGUCAUUUGCUAGAGAUAGUGGUGGUGUUAGAUAUCCUACCGCAAAAGGCACGCCAGUGAAAUCCAGAUUGGUUUUGGGCAAAGAGAAGGAAAAAGAGUGAAAGAAGGUUAUUCAAUCUCCGAAAAUUACAAAUAGUCUAUCAUUGGCAGAUGAAGUAAAGUAGUGAAUGAAACAACUGGUAAGCCUUUUGCAACCAAUGUGAACUUUGUGAUCAAGGGAUCUGUAUGGGAUAACUUUGUUAUCUCUAAAAUUUCAAAUGCUGGAUUUAAAUUGGAGUAUGUCAAGAUAGAAAUAAAAAAGGAAAGCUGAUUUCUAAAAUUGAUGCAGAUGAUAUCAGUACAAAAGUUGAUUACUGAAAACACUCAGUAGUAUGUUAAUAUUUUGGGGGCACAUCCCCCUUUUUCACUGCUUAUUGGGUAUUUUCAAAGGCAAUGAGAGAAGUAUGAUAUUAAUAAGAUAGAUAUGAUGAAGAAUGACAUUGUCUUAAUUAGGUUUGAAACUACUGAGAGUCAAAGUAAGGUAUUACAAGGUAGGAUUAAUCAUUUUAAUAGUAAACCUUUUAUUGUUAAAGUAUGGAGUCCAAAACUGGAGUUCACUAAAGAAUCGUUGUCUGUUCCAAUAAAGAUUAAGAUGCCUGGACUGCAUUUCAAAUAUUUAAGUGCUAAAAGGCACUUAAUAUUGGUAUUUUGGUAAGGAAACCAUUGAUAAUUGAUAAACAUACUAAAAAGAAGGUUGGACUAACUUUGCAAGGUUAUUAGUGGAAAUAAAGAUUGGUGCAUCAUUGCCGGAGUGUAUCUACUUCAGGAAUGAAAAGGGGAAACUAAUUGAGUAGAAGGUGACAUAUUAUUGACAUCCUCUAUUAUGUAAGGUUUGUCAGAAGUCUGGUCAUAAAGAGGAUAUAUGUAGGAAGAAGAGAACUAAACUGAUGCAAGUCAGGAACUCUAAAGAAGGGAAAAACUAGUAAAAUGCAGGUGAUGAUAGAGCAGGGUUCAGCAUCUCAAGUUCAAGAGCCUGAUGCAUUGAAGAAUAAGCCAAAUGAGUGGAAUAGAGGUGGAAAAGGAAAAUUGACCAAAACUAUUGGCUAGAACAACCUAAUAAGGAUGGUAAUGUGACUACUACUAUCAUGACUGUCAACACUUAUAAAGCACUAACUGCAAACAAAGGAGUAUAAGCACCUCUAAAGAGACAGUUAAGGAUGGACAUAAUGAUACUAUGUUCCUAUCUGGGAAUAGUUAAAAUGCUUUGUUGAAAGGUUAGAAAUCUUAAUGGAUAAAUAAGUAAUAGGAGAUCAAGCUCUUCUAUAGUAAAUGAAUGUUGGAUUGAUGGAAUUUCUGGAAACAAAGGUUAAGGUGAAUAGAAUAAGUCAAAUAAUUAGUACUAUGUGUGGAGGAUAGAAGUGUAAUAGCAAUGAUGCCUCUCAUUAUAAUAGAAGGAUAUUAUUAAUAUGGAGAUUAGACUGGUUUGAAUUUACAUUGAGAGUGGAUCUACCUAAACAAUAGCCUACCUGGUGGAGUAUAUUCCUAAGCAACUCAUAUUUGUGACCGCUUUUGUCUAUACUUUCAACACAAAGGAAGAAAGAAAGAGUCUAUGGAAUUACCUUAAGGAAUAUUGGUAGUUUUCAAAUACCUUGAAUUAUUUUAGGAGAUUUUAAUAAUGUCUUACAUGAUGAUGACAGGAAAGGAGGGGUGCCAAUUUUAUUUGCUGAAGUAUAUGAUUUUCCGAAUUGACUUGAGUAUUAUAGUUUAACAGAGCUACUUAAUGGCUGCAAGUACACCUGUUCUGAUAACCAAGCUGAAAUAAUUUUCCCAAAAAUUGACUAAGUUAGGGUAAAGGGGGAACGGUUGGACAACAUGAAUAGAUGUAUCACCCAAUUUCACUCUGAAGGCAUUAAUGAUAAUUGCCCUUUGAUGAUCAACAUGCUGUAAACUAAUAAUAGAAGGAACAAAACUUUUAAGUAUUCUAACAUGUCGUGUAAGCAUUGAAAGUUAAUAGAGAUAAUUUAGACUACUUGGGGCACUCCAAUACAUGGUUAUAGUAUGUAUCAAGUGGUGACUAGAUUAAAAUUACUUAAGAAGAAAUUGAAGAAGCUACAUCAGUAGCAUUUUAAUAAUAUAAUGCAUGAAGCAGAUGAGGAUAGAGAGACACUUCACCAGGUUCAGGCCUAAUCCAGAUACUAGUAAUGUUAUGAUGCUACGAGAGAAAAGAGAGCUGAAUAUGAAGUUUAGGAGAUCAUCUAGCCUAACUGGAUCCUUCUUGUUACAAGAAGCAAAAAUACAUAGAUUAGACAAGAAAAUGAAUGCACUGAGUAUUUUUUUCUUUGUGAUUAAGCAAAGAAAACUUAUCCAAUCAAUUACUCAAAUUCAAGAUAUGCAAGGGAAGAUGCAAUAUAAACUUGAUAGCAGAGCUGAUAUAUUUUUUUCAGUAUUUUCAAUUCAUACUUAGUGAAUUAGGAGGUUCUAGAAGGAAGGUAAGUGAUGUAGUAUUUGCUCAAGGACAGACCCUCAUAGUUGCUCAACAAUGUGAAAUCUUAAGUCCUUGUAUUGAUAAAGAGAUCAAAGCUACAAAGUUUAGUAUUAAAGAAACUAAGAGCCAAGGCCUUAUGAUUUUAGUAGUGAUUUCUUUUAAGUUGCAUGGGGUAUAGUAGAUGAAAGUGUUUGUCCAGCUAUUACAGACUUCUUUAGAACAAAGGAACUGCUUGCUACCAUGAUCUUAAUGAUUUCUAAAGUGUCUAAUCCUUUGAGUGCUAGACCUAUAGCACAUUGCAAUGUUAUCUACAAGUGUAUUUCUAAGCUUUUGUGUAACAGACUGGUCAAAGUAUUACCUAGUAUUAUUAGUGCUAAUCAGACAGUUUUUUGUUAAAUAUGGGUCCCUGAUUCAUAAUGUGUUGAUGUGCCAUGACUUAUUGAGGCAUUAUAAUAGGAAGACUACUUUAAGAUGUCUCAUGAAGAUUGAUUUGAGGAAAGCAUAGGACAUGGUAUAUUGAGACUUUAUAGAGGAAAUAUUGAAAAGUUAUGGUCUCUCAAUCACGUUCUAUUAAUUGCUUAUAGCUUUUCGUAAAAUUGCCAGAUUCUUUGUGAAAGUUAAUGAUAAAGAAAGUGGCUAUUUUAAAGGUUAGAGAGGGUCGGUAUAGGGUGAUCCUAUCUCACAAUUUCUGUUUUAUCUUAGUUAUGGAGUACCUAACUAGAGUACUGAGUUUAAUGAGCAAUUUACCGGACUUCAAGUUUCAUUCAAUAUCCUAAGACUUGAACGAGCUCACCUUAUAUCUGUUGAUGAUUUGACAAUCUUUUGUAAAGGUCAAGUAGCUUCAGUUAAAGAAUUAUGGAUGCUAUUCAUCAUUUCUCACAAACUACAAGACUGACGGCUAAUAAAAAUAAGCCUAAUCUUCAUGUUUAGGAGUAGAUGAUAUAGUAAGGAAUACUCUAUUGACAUAUACAAUGGAUUUACCUUGGUCACCUUUCCAAUGAAGUAUUUUGAGCCUACCUCUGUCUCCAAAGAAAUGGAGUAAACUUGACUGCCAUUAAUUAUGUUUAAAGAUUACUGAAAAUAUUAGAGUCACUUCAACUAGGUAUCUGUCCUAUGCUGGAAAAGUUCAAUUAUAAACUGUAUUCUUUUUUCUCUUGGCAACUUUUAGGGGCAUGUUUUCAUCCUUCCUCAAAGUAUACUAAAAGAGGUAGAUAGAAAGAGCAAAUUUUUUCUUUGGGGUAGUACUAAGAAUAAAAGGAUAGUGACACUUAUAGCAUGGAGUGAUGUCUGCAAGCCUAGAGCACAAGGUCUUCUUAAUAUUAAAUUUUGCAAAAUCUGAAACAUUUCAGCUGUUGGUAAUUUGAUUUGGAUGAUAUGUCAAUAGAAGGAGGCUCUAUGGGUCAGAUGGAUUCAUGGAGUUUUUCUGAAGUAUGAUGCUUAUUUCUAAAACCAUAAACCUCCAAUUGAUUGCAACUGGUAUCAAAAAACUCUAAAUAAGAUGAAAGCAGGUAUGAUAGGGUGGUAUAGGAAUGGUAAUUUUUGUUUUAACUAUGAUAUGGUGGUAUAGGAAUGAUAAUUUUGUUUUAAAUACUUAUGAUAAAUACUCUGUCAAAAUAAGUUACCCGUUAUGAUUGAAGUAGGAACUUACCUUGACACUGCUGAACUUAUAUGGACCAAAAAUAUGAUACCUAAACAUAGAUUUAUAGUGUGAUUCUCUAAUGAAAAGAAAUUGUUAAUCAAAAGUAGGCUCAACUCUUGGGAGUAUAGUGUGGAAAUACCAGUUUUGUGUUGUGUGAGAAGCCAUGUUUGAAAGAUUUUAAUCAUCUAUUUAUACAAUGUUAAUAUACUAUUUUGCGGUGGAGAACUGUAACUGGUUGGGUAUUUAAAUGCCAUAAACAGACAUCAAAGGUAGUUUAGAGUGGAUCUGGAUCAAGCAAAAAUAUUGGACCAAGCUAAAGAAGGCUAUCGUGACAGUAGUGUAUGUAGCAGUAAUAUACUCAAUUUAACAAGCUAGAAAUUAAAAGAUAUUCAGGUAGUGUAUUGCAAGCAGGCUCUGACUCUUCAUCAAAUAAAGUUGCUUAUUAGAGAAGGAUUAUCAGUUGUGAAGAUAUCCAAAAGGGUAGGAAAGAAUAAAUAUUUGAUAGAGAGAUUGUGUUCUUAGCUUUUGGCCACAUUUCACAUGUUGGGAAUUGUGGUAUGUCUUUAGUUUAGGCUAUUGUUUGUUUUGGUUGUAUUACUCUGAUAAGUUGGUUGAUGCUGGUAAUAAAUUUUUACAAUUUAUUACUAAAUAAAAAUAAAAUUGCAAAUAACUUACAUGUUUAAAGUGUGAAAAAAUUAUCACUAAUAGCCGGUAUAUGCAAUUUUUGUUCAUUUUUUGGCAAUUCAUUACCAAGCAAAACGUUACAAAGCCUAGCAGUUGGCUAAAUUUUUUACAUACUUAAAAAACUCAUCGAUAAUUUUUCUCUGUAUAAAAAAUGCUCUCUCAUUUCUCUAGGUGAUUCGCUACUGACUUCUAUCUGAAUGACUGCAUUGCCAUCGGUAGAGCUUUUCCGACCCCAAAAGGAUUUACUUGAUAAUCCCCCCCCCCCCCCCCAUACCCCUAAAAAACAAAAAAAAAAAAAAACAAUUUCUGAUGACAAGUGGGAGUUGGUUCAAAAACUUAUUUUUCUAAGCUGAGUUAGAUGAUUCCAAGUCAUGGAAUUUAUCCUACAUAUCUAAUACCCUCUAAGGUGCGAAAUUCAAAGCAUAUUAACAUGUCAAUCGUAAGAAUUGAGCAAGGCCAUUUGACACUGUUGAGGAAAAAUUGUCGGAUGUGAGCCUUUAAAUUUGAUCACCUUGCAAGCUAAUUCAUGAUGAGAUAAAUGAAGACGAAGGUAAAGGAGAUAAAGGUGCUCAUAUUAGUCAAUGUUCAAUCCAAGGAGAUACGCGUGACACUGUCGGACUAUAUUGAAACUCUGGUGAGCAAUUUCUCACCGACGAAAAGGAUAAAACUCAAUGUCAAUCAAUAGAUGGGGAGGAUAUAAAUGCAAUUAUGCCAAUAUCCCUAAUUGUUGAUGUUCAAAACAUUUUGAAUUUGGAAAUUAGGUUUUUCAGUCCAAAAUCAUCGAACAAAAGUCAAAACAAAAUUUUGUCAAGUGUUGGAACCUUGAAGUUUUGAUGAAUGACAAUAUGAAUGAAACAAGUUGAUAUGAGUUAAUUCAAUGCAACUGAAAACUUCAAUUUACUGAUCACAUGGGGAAUAGAACAAGUUGAAUUUGAUUCAAACACUUGAUGAUAAGGGAAAACAAGUUUAGUUGAAAAAGGAGUCUUACGUAAAGAAGGAGUUUCACUUCUGAGUAUAUCUUGAAGAGUCUUAUGUGUGGGAGGAGAAAGAUUCUGAUAAAUUAAUAUGUGCUGAUUUAAAGAAUUGGAAUUUGACUACAACACCAAGGAGACAAGCGUUGGAAUUGAAGAAGGAGUCCCACUUGAAGUAGAACUCUAUGCAAUGAGAGUUUUGAUUAGAGGAGUUUGAAAUAAAGAAUGACUCUUUGGAGAGCUGUGCUUAAAUAGAAGAUGCAGCAGUCAGAAUAAUUCACGUACUUAAAAAGCAGAAAAGUACAAUCGACAGAUUGAAUUUACGAAGUGCUACUCAAUCAUUGAAGAAACACGUUGAAGAACCUGGUCCUCAGUACAGAACCCAGCUACGAGUUUUAGCGUUGAUUUUUAGAGUUGUUCAUUGUGUUUGAAUUAUUGAUGUAAUACUAGUUUCAGUGUGUUAUAAACUGAACUAGGAGCUAGUUUUCGAGUUGGAAAAACUCAGAGACUUUGGGAACGCAUACCUUGGGAGGUGUGUGUGUAGUUAGGAAUUAGAGUUUAUAAUUCCUAGUUGUUGAGUUAUAGGGAUUAGAGUUUAUAAUUCUUAUUUGUUGGUUACAAGAGUGUUGUAAUCAGUCGUUGUUGAGGCUCAGAGUUAUUUACUGAAGUUGGGGUUAAAUCCUGUAGAGGUGCAGGUCAUGGUUUUUUUACACCUUUUGAGCCGGGUGUUUUCCACGUAAAAAUCCAUUGUGUUCUUUACUUUUUGUUUUACUGCUUUCGUGGAACACGUCAAGCAACCCGUUCCAUCAAUAGGCAACAGUUAGGCGAAAAUAAAAUAAUCAGUAGGGCACGAAUUCUUAACAAGUGGUAUCAGAGCGAGGUUAUCUUAAAAAGGGCUAGCACCUAAGACAAAGAUCAAUAUGAUGAAUUUCGCACCACCUACCGAUCACAGUGAAGGUCAAUCUACUAUUAGACCUCCACUCUUUGAUGGUUCUCACUUCAUUUGGUGGAAAGCUAGGAUGGAAACAUUUAUUCAAGGCGAAGACUACGAGUUAUGGGAUAGGAUCACUGAUGGUCCUACUAUUUCAAUGAAGUUAGAAGAUGGGAAACAGGUCAAGAAAGUAAGAAGUGAAUUCACUCCUGAUGAUUUAUUGACAUUAAAGAAAAAUGCUAAGGCCAAAAACAUUUUGGUCUGUGGAUUAGGACCUGCUGAAUACAACAGGGUAUCAAUAUGCACCACUGCUAAGCAAAUUUGGGAUGCUCUAGUAAAUGCUCAUGAAGGCACAUCUCAAGUAAGAAAAUUUAGAAUUUCUCUUCUCUUCUCUUCACCGAGUAUGAGGCAUUUAAGAUGAGGGAGGAUGAAACCUUGCAUGAGAUGAUGACAAGGCUUACUGCCUUAACAAAUGUGCUGACCUUCUUAGGAAAAGUUAUAUCUAAAGAAGAAUAAGUCGAGAAGGUACUGGGGGUAUUACCAAAAUCAAAGUGGAAUGUUAAGGUGACUGUAAUCAGGAAAGCAAAUAAGGAUCUUGCAGGCAUGGCCCUGGAUGAAUUAGUGGGGAAUUUAAGAACUUAUGAAAUGGAAAUUGAUGGAACUAAAAUGGUAGCAGCUUGGGGAUUUGACUUAGAUGGAGAUGAAGUUGAUGAAGCAGCACUCAUGGCUCUUGGAGAUUCAGACUUGGAGGAAGAAGAUGAUGCUUCUGAGGUAAGUAUACUUGAACUUAAAGAAAAGUUGCAUUUGUUUUCUAAAACAAAACUUAUUUCCUUGAUGAGUGCACUAAUUGAUGACUUCCAAGAAUCAACUUCUGAUAGGGAUGAGCUAUUCAACAGUCUUGCAAGAAUCAAAUUUGAUUUUAUUGAUUUAGAAGCUUGCAAGAAACUGUUGAACAGGAAAACUGCUCUCUCAAGAAACAGAUUGAGCAACUUGAUUCUUCAAAUGACGAUCUUUAAGUCUGAAGUUCUAAAAUUGACACUCUCUGAAAAAGGAAAAAACACAGUGUAAAGAACAAGAAAAAGUUGAACUUGAAUUGGUCAAGUACAAAGAAGAGUGCAAUAAUGCAACAGAAAUGGUGAAUAAACCGAGUCAAGAAGUCUCUAAACUAAAACUUGACCUUGAGAGAGCAAACAGGUGGACAAAUUCCUCAAGAAUUGUUCAUAAGUUGAGUGAAAGAUAUCACAGUGAAAAAGCUGGGUUGGGUUUUCAUAAAAGUCUUGAUGUUUAUCAAGACUUGUGCUAUAUAUGUGGAAACCUUGGACAUCCAACCACUAAAUGUCCAGUUGCUGCCAAAAGUAGAUCCAGCAGUCUAAAUCUGGCAAAUAAACUAUCUCAGACCAAGAAAAGGAUAANNNNNNNNNNNNNNNNNNNNNNNNNNNNNNNNNNNNNNNNNNNNNNNNNNNNNNNNNNNNNNNNNNNNNNNNNNNNNNNNNNNNNNNNNNNNNNNNNNNNNNNNNNNNNNNNNNNNNNNNNNNNNNNNNNNNNNNNNNNNNNNNNNNNNNNNNNNNNNNNNNNNNNNNNNNNNNNNNNNNNNNNNNNNNNNNNNNNNNNNNNNNNNNNNNNNNNNNNNNNNNNNNNNNNNNNNNNNNNNNNNNNNNNNNNNNNNNNNNNNNNNNNNNNNNNNNNNNNNNNNNNNNNNNNNNNNNUAUUUUUUUUUAAAAAAAAAAAUGAGAAAAGAGGAUGACUGUGAAACUGAUGAGCAUGCACAGGAACAUGUUGUACCACCUGGUUCAACUGUUGUACAGACUGAGGGCAUAUUGACAGGGGAACAACAAAUAAAGAAAUAGAUGCAUCAAUAAAACCAAAGUUGCUGGUAAUUUUGUUAGUAGUUCAUAAAAAUUGAUGUUGUCAAAAUAAUCUUGAGAGAUCUCAUGGGAAUCAAUGGCUUGAGAUUAUGAUAUCCAAAGGAAAACAAUUUCACUCUUGGGGGCUACAACUAUUUGGGUUACUUAAUUGACUGGAGAAACAUCAAAGGCACUAAGUAGAGAGCAUUUUGCAAGGAAUAGGUUAGACUUGAGGAUGAUUAAAAUUGCAUGAACUCCCCUCAAUGAUUGACUAGAAUAAUCAUUUUUCUUUUUAAUCUUAUUAGCUAAAAAGUUAUUCUAUUCAGUCUUGCACAUUUAGUUUGUGUCCCAAUUCCAGAUUUUUGACUUUUCUAACCUAUUUUUGUAUUAGAUUGUGUAGAAAAAUAGGUACAAACAAGCAAUUAUGACCACAAAAUUCUUCUUAUCAGGUAUGUUCUGCACUGACAUAAGCAUAGGCUGUCUAAGUUGAAACAGUUGAGCACACCUGUUUAAUUCCACACACUUCAUCCUCUCAUUGUCUAAUAAAACUAAUGAAUUGUUGGCCAAACUUUCUCUGAUUCUCUCCAAAUGGGUGUGCACAAGUGUGUUAAUCCUAUACCAGAAAUUUCUUUUUCUUUCUCAACCAAAAUAUCAGUUGUGUACCAUGGAUUUGCCAAGCUUGAUCAUCAAUCACAUGCAACAUAUGUUUUUGAAGAAUGAAAAGGGACAUGCUUUCCCUUUUAGUUGCUAAUUGGUAAUUUUUUUUGGGCUUCUCAGUCCUAAAUCAGGUUUGACUUAUAGAAAAAAAUAGAUGUUCUUGAACAGAUGAAUCAUGUUGCUCUACCUGUUUCAAUAAGGAGGACUAAGACUCAUUUGAGAAAAAAAAAUUUCUGAACUAGAAGCUGCAUAAGAUAGCCAUGAAGUGGAAUAAGAGGUCUUUAAGGUUAGGAUCAUGACUUUGAAGCUGGACCUUGAUUGAUAGAGGGAUGAAAAUGUUGAAGUCAUUCAUCAAUUGACACAGUUGAUAUCACCUGUUCCACCUUCCUCAUCAACUCCUCACUAUUUGUAUCCUUAGCCAUGUCCGACUUUUAUAUCGUAUUUUUUUUAAUGCUCAAUUGUUUUGCUUUGUUCAGUACUAGCUUAGGUUUAAUGUGGAACAUGCUCUGUCAGUUAAAUGGAAUGGUUAUCUUUGCUAAAUUGACUCAUAUUUUUGCUCUCUUUAAUACAUUAUUAGGUUGGCUAAAGUCUUUGUUUGAUUGUUUUGGUGAUAGCCCCAGUGGCCAUGAAUAGCAUAACAAAUCACUUUGGCUAAUAUAUUAUUGCAUUGAAAUGGUUUUUCGAUGAUGCCAAAAGGGGGAAGAUAAGAGGGUUGUGUAAUGUUUAUAACCCAUUGACUAACUUAUUCAUUAUAGUGUUUAUACUUUAGUGCCUACAGGUAAAGAUAUUUGGGUGCACAAAGACAAGAGGUUUGUCAUCAUCAAAACGGGAAAUUUGUUGGAACCUUGAAGUUUGAUGAAUGACAAUAUGAAUGAAAUAAGUUGAUAUGAGUUAAUUCAAUGCAACUGGAAACUUCAAUUUACUGAUCACAUGGGGAAUAGAACAAGUUAAAUUUGAUUCAAACACUUGAUGAUAAGGGAAACAAGUUGAGUUGAAAAAGGAGUUUUAUGUAAAGAAGGAGUUUCACUUCUGAGUAUAUCUUGAAGAGUCCUAUGUGUGGGAGGAGAAAGAUUCUGAUAAAUUAAUAUGUGCUGAUUUAAAGAAUUGGAAUUUGACUAGAACACCAAGGAGACAAGAAUUAGAAUUGAAGAAGGAGUCUCACUUGAAGUAAAACUCUAUGCAAUGAGAGUUUUGAUUAGAGGAGUUUGAAAUAGAGAAUGGCUCUUUAGAGAGCUGUGCUUAAAUAGAAGAUGCAGCAGUCAGAAUAAUUCACGCACUUAAAAAACAGAAAAGCACAAUCGACAGGCUGACUUUACGAAGUGCUACUCAAUCACUGAAGAAACACGUUGAAGAACCUGGUCCUCAGUAUAGAAUCCAGCUAAGAGUUUUAGCGUUGAUUUUUAGAGUUGUUCAUUGUGUUUGAACUAUUGAUGUAAUAUUAGUUUCAGUGUGUUAGAAACUGAACUAGAAGCUAGUCUUCAAAUUGGGAACACUCAGAGACUUUGGGAACGCAUACCUUGGGAGGUGUGUGUAGUUAGGAAUUAGAGUUUGUAAUUCCUAGUUGUUGAGUUAUAGAGAUUAGAGUUUACAAUUCUUAUUUGUUGGUUAUAAGAGUUUUGUAAUCAGUCGUUGUUGAGGCUCAGAGUUAUUUACUGAAGUUGGGGUUAAAUCCUGUAGAGGUGCAGGUCGUGUUUUUUUACACCUUUUGAGCCGGGUGUUUUCCACGUAAAAAUCCAUUGUGUUCUUUACUUUCUGUUUUACUGCUUCCGUGGAACACGUCAGUCAACCCGUUCCAUCAAUAGGCAAUAGGCAACAGUUAGACGAAAAUAAGAUAAUCAAUAGGGCACGAACUCUUAACAUCAAGUCAAAGCUCCAAUUCUCAAGUCGAAGUAUUACAACAAGAUCAUAGGAGUACUGUUAUGCCAAAACACCAUGGUACCUUUUAAAUCAAUGAAUUCCAAUUUCAAUAAUCCUACAGUUGCCGAUUUGGGUAUCAUGAUGUUCUGGGGGAUGUGAAUUCUAUUGGUCAAUGUUAAACAUCUAGUUGUUAUAUGGGGAAGGUGAAUUUCACAAAAGGUCCUUCAAAUUAUGCUCAAGGCUUGUGUAAUUUGAAAACUAGGUUUUCAGUUGAAAGUGUCAAUGUUAAUUAUUUUGAUGAAGGAAAUUCUGAUUCUAUAAACUUUGAGGGUGUUAGCAAGACACCAACAGAUGUCAAUUCAGGUGUCUACAAGUUCUUUGUCAAUUCAUUCUCAAAAUGGUGGUAAUGUGUUGAAAGCUAAAGAUACAAACACUGGUAAAAUAGUUUCUAUUGAGAAUAUAUCUCAAAAACAAGCUAUUGAUCAUGGUCAAGGUGGUAGGAAUAAGAAUAAGCAAAAAAUUACUGAGGAACUUCAAAAAACUAUUCCUAAACCUUAUGUGCCUAAUAAUAAAUCAAUGGAAGUUUCCAGCAAAUUUGCUAAGUCUACUCCUGCAGAUCCUAACUUUAAUGAGCUACAUGUGGUUAAUGAUUUUGAUAAAGAAAAAGUUGAGGAUCCUAACGUUGUCUGCAAUAAUCAGACUCAUCAAAGAGAUAAGGCUACAAAGAUUCCUAAUCCUCCUGAUCCUUGGGUUGCUCAUACUGUGGUCACUAAAUUAAGAGCUCAAAAAGCUGUGAAGAUGUCCACAAUUGGAUUACACCUCCAAAGAUUACUACAAAACAUGAGUUGCCAGCAGUGGUGUUCAGGCCUAAGGAUCGAAUGUGAAACUUGCUGAAAAAUACAAGUAUACUCUGAUUGGUAAGCUUACUAACACUAUGCCUAAAAUGGAAAUCAUUAGAAAAUAGUUUAUUUUGCAAAUUGAGCUUAGGGGUGGUGUUAAGUUGAGUCAUUUUAAUGUUAGACAUCUUUCUAUUGAUUUGGUGAACGCGAAUGAUUAUACUACCGUGUGGGCUAAAGGUAAGAUGUCUAUUGAUAGGUAACUGAUGAGGUUACAAUUGUAGACACCUACUUUUAGAUCUGCCGAAGACACCUCUUGUUCCUAUAUGGCUUAUUCUACCCGAGUUACCGUGGCAUGGUUAUUAUAUGAAAGUAUCGUCACCUCUUUUAUCCCUUAUACGAAAAGCUCUGUUCCUUGAUUUAGCAACAUAUAAGAAGACUAGGGGUAGUGUUUCUUAGGUGAAAAUCCAAGUUGAUCUUACCAUGUUUGGAUGGGGUAUGGUGAAGAUGAGAAUGGUGAAGACAUGUGACAGCCUAUACAAUAUGAGGGAGUCUUCAGUAUUAUACUUAUUGAAAGCAUCAAGGGCAUUUAAUCAUGUCUUGUAAUGUUAAGAGUAAUGAUAAUGAGGCAAGAAGAAGCAAAAAAAAUGAAAGAAGCUGAGAAAAAUGUCAAUAUGCAGAAGCAACUUGAUUUUAAUAAUACCACUGGUCCUAGAAAUGAAGAGAGAAAAUCAGCACCUGCAAGACAAAAUGAUCCAGACUCAGCAAACUGAAAUUCAACAACCUCACGCACAAGAUCAGCGGCAAGUAUAAAGAAGAAGAGGUAAAAGAAAUAAUCAGCAACAACAACAAUACAACCAAAAUCGACAAGAGCAGUCUUUUCAACAUCAAGUUUACAAACCUAGAUCACCUUAGCAAAAUACUACAGAUACACAGAAAAAUCAGCUACAACAACAAACAAGUUUAUCUUCUCAACAACAUGAAAAUUAUCCAAAAGAUUAUAAUGUUGAUUCUGGAGUCCGGAAUCAACAACCCCAUCCCCAUGAUGCUAUUAUUAGUUCCGUUAAUCCCACAAUCCCAACAAGAUGAAAGUGUGUAGAAUCUCAACAAAUAAAAUCAAAAUAUUGAUAAAAAUGGCAAUAAGAAAUGGUAACAAUACUUAAGCCAAAAUAAUAUGGUUGCUGAUAAUAUCCCCAAAAAUGGGAUCAUAGUUACCGACUCAAUGAUCCAUCAACCCCACCCAUUUAAUUUAAAUGUGCAAAGUGUGAAAAAGCUCAAUUUUGAGCACAAAAGAGAAGUUGCUGCUGAUAAUUUUCCAAAAAGAAAAUCAUGUGUUGAAUCAAUGCUCCAUUAACUCACUCUAAUAUUUUUAAUGUUUUAUCUAGUGAUGAGGUUUAUGGGGGUGAGACUGGUGUUCAGGAGAAAAUUACUAACUUGCAGAAAGGGGUUACCAAAGUGAAUGGAUUAGAAUUUAGAGCCCCUGUUGCCAUUAUGAAAAACCAACAUAUUGCGGAUGUGAAUUUUUCCACUGAAAAUUUGACUAAAUUGAGUGAUACAGAUCAGUGUACAGAGGUGUAAAUUAAUGGUACCAAGAUGAUGAAAGGGGUUCAGUCUGAAGGUUCAGAAUUUGAUCAAAUUAAUGAGUGGAGUGCAGAUGAUCCUAGUACUCCUAUCAGUGUUUAUUUAGAAGAUGAACAUGAUCCAAUGUAGGGUAAUUCUAUAGAUUAUAGGGUGGGUGAUCUUUCUCAUCCUUUAAGCAAUAAGGCUACAGUUGAUUUCAACAAGAAGAAACGAGAUCAAAUUAAAAAGGGACAAGAUAUGGGUGAUAGCAAUGAUAAAAAUCAACAGCAAGGUGGUAAUAACAAGUUUGUUUUACUGGCUGAGCAAACAGGUUUACAUAUUGACCCUCUACAAGUUAAUGAUCAGAGAGUUGAUAGUCCUAAAUGUUGGAACCCGGGGGGUUGCACCAUACCGUGAGGGAUCAGGUCUCUCAAAAUUAGUCACAGGCAAAAACACAGUAAAUGAAACAGGAACACACUACAGUGCAGGAAAUUUAAAGAACACAAAAUUUAACGUGGAACCCCCUUGCUCAAUGAAGGAAAACCACAACUUACUGUAAUACCCUGCGAUUUUCCUAGCUUAAACUCAUCCCGAAAAAUGUCAAAGAUUAGCUCUUAGAAUGAAUGACAUUUAUUUUUUGUGGAAUUCUUUAGAUUUGAACUUUCCAUGGCGUAUAAAAUUGAAUAAGCUUUCCAACGAUAUAAGAUUCGCUUAAAUCCGAUAACCGAGUAAGAAGUAAUGGCUAUUUUAAGUUCCAGUCGUAAAUCACCGUCAUUUGGACCCUUCGCGCGUCGCGGAGCAGUGUAAAAUCCCAAUUGUCAUUUUCCAGUGGCCCUUCGCGAUAUUGGCGCGUCGCGGAGAGGGUCAAUUUCCCAUUGGUCCAUUUCUAGAGGUCCAGUGCGAUAAUGGCGCGUCGCGCCAUGUGCCAAAAUGGCAUUGCAAAGGGGCACCUCGAUGACCCCACGUCGCAGAGUCUGCCUAGUUCCCAGUUGGCAUUUUCCAGUGGCUUGGCGCGAUUGUGGCGCGACGCCAAAAGUCAGAAUUUUUGGGUCGUUUUCCAGUUUCGAUUUAGAGUUUAAUAGGGGCAUUUUGGUCAAUCCCCAGGGCCCCAAAUCCGUCCAAAACACUUCAUUAAUCAAAUGCUAAGUCACUUUAUGCUUAUUUCAUUACUUUUCUCUUAAAAGUAAACGCUAGUUCAUCAACUUAUUCCCCAAGAAAUCCAAAAUUUCCCUAUUAAUCUUUCAAGGAAAUUCAAGAUUUAGAAUUCUCAAUACAAGAACGCGAAGAAGCCAUCUCCAAAACAUCAAUAGGAAUCCAGGUUCGAGUUCCUUAUCAAAGAUCGUUAAAUUAAGGUAUGUGGGGUUUGAACAAGGACAAUCCGUUAGUCCUUGUGCCCAAAAUUAUGUUUUUCAAUAAAUUUCUUAUGAUUUGAAAUUUGGGGUUUACACCCAUAGUAUCUUAUUGAUGAUUUUGAGUAUGAUAUGAUUGAAUUAUAAAAUCCCAUGUGUAUUUUGAGUUAAAGAAUGCUCUUUUAUGAUUUUGAAUACCAUGAGCAUGAUUUGAAAUAUUGUUGACAACUUUUCAAUUGAAUUGAGCAUGAUAUUGUGAUUUAAAGUCAUUAUCUUGAUAUUAUUGAAGCAUGGACUACUAUCCAAGAUUGAUUAUUGUGAUUUCAAGAAAGUUGAUGCUAUAAGCAUCUUAUGAGCAAGAUUGUUUAUAGUUUCAAUACAGCUUUGAUCUUUUGAUCAUUGGUUUAGCUUUGGAAUCCACAUUAUAUAUCAUUACAACAACAACAACAACAACAAACCCAGUGUAUUUCCACACAGUGGGGUCUGGGGAGGGUAAAAUGUACGCAGUCCAUAUCACUACCUUCGGAGAGGUAGCAAGGCUGUUUCCGAUAGACCCCCGACUCAAGACAAAGAAUAAUAAGCAAAUUCAUAAUACAGCAUGAAAUGAAAUAAUGCGUAAAGAUAUAUAUAUAUAUAUAUAUAUAUAUAUAUCCUAGAGCUUUGCAUUUUAUUCCGAUAGAGAAAACAAGUUGAAUUGGCAUGCCAUGGUGCGAUGACUAAAUUUACAGCUAAACAGUAAAGAUUGCUCUCGUCUUCGAACUUUAAGGUUUUUUAGAGAGAAACAGAAUUCAGUUCACUUCAUACGAGAAUAAUCCUUACAUUAAAAGUAAAGAAAGAUAAAAAAGAAAAAAGCAAGCAUUAAAAGGUUUACCAAGAAAGCAAAGAACCCACCUGAUCGAAGAAACCUCUUUUGGCUGUUUCUUCCCACAAUCGAAGCAUAGAAAGGGCAAUACCACCGGACAAUCCAGAGGCGACUAAAUCUCCUAUGAACAGAUUUUCUGAAAACAUUGUAAAAUCUACAACUUUAAUCCUCGUGCUCGGGUGUAAUCUUCUGGUUUUAAGCUUUUGGAAUCCCAAAUUAACCCCUUUCUUACUGCAGAAGAGAGAAUACAUUAUAUAUUAUUACAAUUUACAAAAACUCAGAACAGUUUUGUUCACAAACUUACUAAAGUUAGUGCAUAAAUGGUUUUUCAUAUAAAUCCUUAUGCUAGCUUUAAGAGUGAAUUUCCAAUGGUUUUCAGCAUAUAGAUCUUAAAGGGAGUAGUAUUUAGCACCGAGCGGGAAGUAUGAGAUUAGCGUGCCCUAUCUUGCACAGAACUACGUAGCCAACGUAUGUACAACUCAGAUUAUUUCCAUUUAUAUGGAUGACAGAUUUAGCUUGUGAUCAAUCACAUGGAUUAGGUUAUACUCCCUGGCAAGAGUAUGACACCUCUCCCCAACGUGAGGUUUCCUUCUUAGGAGGUCAAGACGUUGGACUCCCUACUAGUAAAAGAUAUACAACUUUUUAGAUAAAGUAUUUUCCCUAAAGCUUUGAAAGAAUCCCCUUGCAGAAUAAGUUUUCAGAUAUGAUUUGAGAACAAGAACAGUUAUAGAUUUUAGAACUAAGUGUAAUGACUCACAAGAUUCUUACUACAUGCUUUACUAUUCAUGAUUUAUGAUAUUUAGAUUUCAGAUUUACUCAAGCUAUGUGAGUCAUUUACAUUUAGCAUGCAUGAUUUGAUAAAAUGUGAUGAUAUUAUUUACUUAUUGUAUGCACCCCUAUAUACUCAGUACAUUCUUAAAGUACUAAUUCACAUAUACGUCUAUGUGCUACAUUGUCUCAUAAUGUAGGUUCAGGUGCUCAGUCUCAGCAUCGACAGUGAUUUCCGAGCAUCUCAUCUAUAUCCUGCAGUUGGUGAGUCCUCAUAUUUUGGGGACUUAGCUAUUCAUGUUCUCAGUUUAUUAAUAGAUAUUUCAGUUUAGUCCAAGUCAGCUGGGGCCUGUCCCAGUGACUCUCUAGAUUCAGUUAGUAGAGGCUUGUCGGACUACCAGAUUCAGUCUUAGAUCUUAUUUGUCGUAUUCAGACUUUUAGUAUUUGUUUAAUCCGAUUGAUGAGAUUAGUAAUUUCAGAUAUAUUCAGAUUAUUCAGAUAGUUUUUCGCAUUUUAUCAUGAUUUUAUACUUAUAUUUCCCCAUGUUGAGAUUCAGAUGUGUUAGAAGGUAGCCAGGGUUAUCUCAGGACUACUUGUAGUUCGGAGCACCGUGUGGCGUCCGGGGAACUAGAUUUUGAGGCGUUACAAACUUGAUAUCAAAGCCUAAGGUUUAGAGAGUCCUAGGAAGUCAGACAAGCCAUGUUACAUAGAGUCUUGAUCAUCGGUGUGAAGCGCGCCACAUCUAUGAGCAAGAGGCUAUGGAGCAUUUUAGAAAAAUCCUCUUUUCUUUCGUAAUCCAUCGUGCUUGAAGCUGUCUCUAUCUACUAUUAACUCAUGCUCUUUUAUGACAGAAUAUGCCUCCUCGCAGAGCUAAUGCCCGCAGAAAUGAUAACCAACUACCUCAGUCCGCAGAUUCUUUGAAUGAGAAUGUGUCACAUGUAGAGUUUCGAGCAGCUUUUUAGGCGCUAGCCCAAGCUGUGAUAACUAAUGUUCAAGGUAAUCGUCAGGCUGAAGUCCCACCUCAGCAGGAUGGGGAUUUAGUUGCAGCCAGAAUUUGAGACUUUAUGAGAAUGAACCCGCCAGAAUUCUUUGGGUCGAAAGCAGGUGAGGACCCACAAUUAUAUCUUGAUGCGGUAAAGAAGACCACCCGAAUUAUGCAUGUUUCUGAAGAAGAGAGUGUAGAAUUAGCAUCUUAUAGGCUGAAGGAUAUUUCUUGUGACUGGUGGUGAUGUGGAAGAAGAGUAUAGGGGAGAAUGCAGCCCCAAUGACUUGGCAGAUGUUUCAGGAUGUGUUCCUUGACAGAUUCUUCCCACUUGAGAUGAGGAAAGCUAAGAUAAAAAAGUUCAUGAACCUGAGGCAGGGCUCUAUGACAGUGAAGGAGUAUUGCCUCAAGUUCAACCAGUUGUCUAAGUAUGCCCCCGAUCAGAUGGCUGACCCUAGGUCAAGCAUGAGUAAGUUUGUGAUUGGUGUGUCUAGGAUGGUAGUUAAGGAGUGUAGGACUGCUAUGCUCAAUAAAUACAUGGAUCUUUCUAGAUUGAUGAUGCAUGCUCAGCAGAUUGAGGCAGACAAGAUGAAGUAAACAGAGAGUAAAUAAAAGGGCUAUAACAGGGCAGUUUGAUCAUGGUCAGAACAGGUCUGGAGGAGGAAAUUGUUCGCAGUUUUAGAAUCGUUCAUCUAUGCCUGCACCUUUUUCAUCCAGUGCUCCUGCACCCAGAAACAAGCAAGAACAGUGGGGCAAGUCUUCUAUGUCCAGAUCUCAGAAUAGUGUGUGGUAGACCUAGUUAUCAUCAGUGUGCUAGGUGUGGCAAGAGUCAUCCUGGUGAGUGUCUAGCGGGACGAAAAGGUUGUUAUGGGUGUGGCCAGUCAGGCCAUGGGAUCAAAGAGUGCCCGCAUGCAAGACAGGGAAAUAAGGAUGUUCGUCCUCAGCCUCUGGCUAACAGUGCACCAGCUCCCCUAGGUCGCCCAGCUCCUCCUCAGGGCGCAUCAUCUAGUACUGCUGGCGGUUAGCGCUAGAAUCGAUUUUAUGCUUUACCCUCAUGCCAGGAGCAGGAAGAUUCCCCAGAUGUUGUUAAUGGUAUGCUUCGUGUCUUUCAUUUUGAUGUGUAUGUGUUGUUAGACCCCGGGUUAAGUUUUUCUUAUAUGACCCCGUUAGUUGCUGUGAAUUUUGAGAUAAAUUCUGAAAAGAUUCCCGAGCCUUUCUUGGUUUCUACCCCAGUAGGUGAGUCAGUUGUUGCUAAGCAAAUCUAUAAAAAGUGUCCUAUCAUUGUCUUUCAUAAAGUCAUGCCCCACUCUUCUAUGACUCAUCUUACUUCUAUAGACUUAGAUCACUGCCCUUUGCUGCUUGAGGUUGUUAAGAGUCAAGAGGUUUCAAAUUCUUGCAUUGUUGGUUGGAUAAUCCAACAUUUAGUGAAACUGUUUAAGCUUGCUGGACCAGACCCGUGGAAGAUAGUCCUAUGUGGAGGUUUUAUAUAAAAAUGAAGGGAGUGUCUAACACUCUAAGUAGCUGUCAAAGAUAGAGUAUGGGGAUAUUUAUGCUGCCAUGAAGAGAUUGAGGAGGUGAAAGUCACAUAAGAGAAAAUUAUCAACAAUAACAGAGAUGAGAUUAAAACCAAGUUAAAUUGAAUUAAUGUUGAAUAUAUCAUGUAUAUCAAGUUGACACAGGCUAUUUUGAAGCAAAAAAAAUCAACUUCAUUAUUGUAAGGAUAGAGAUGCUAAUUCCAAAUACUUUUAUGCUUUGAUGAGGGGAAAAAGAAGAAGGCUCUGUAUUCAUAAACUUAUUGAUAAUUAAGGUGAAAAAAACAUAGCCGUGGCUGCUUGUGCAUACUUUCAAGGUAUCUUUGUCGGUGAAUAAAAACUUAUUAAGUAGGAGGUGAUUCAAUGUAUACCUAGUAUGGCUAGUGACAUCCAAUAUUAGCAACUUCAAAAAGUGCCUACUAUUGAUGAAUUAAAGCAAGUUGUGUUUUUUCUAUGAGUGCAACAUUUGCUGCUAGUCCUGAUGGUGUAACUGGUUGGUUUUUUCAAGCUUAUUGGGAUUUUAUUUGUAGUGAUCUUCUAGAAGUGGUUUAGCACUUCUUUCGUGGUCAUGAAAUACCUAAGUACUUUUCACAUACACAUUUGGUUCUACUCCCAAAAGUAGACCAUUCUAAUAAGCUCUACGAUUUCACAUAAAUAUAUCUUAGUAACUUCAUAAAUAAGAUCAUUUCUAAAUUGAUUUGUGUCAGACUUGCUCCAAUUCUUCCUCAACUUAUUUUUUAUAAUCAAUCUAUGUUUGUGUAAUGAUCCUUCAGGUCAUUAUUUAUAUUUUUGAUUAUUUCACCGUUACAACUUUUCUAUAGUUGCCUUAGGUCUUUUAUGACUUGUAGGGACUGACAGUUUGAUUACCAAAUAAUUUGUUUAGGUUUUAGAGCCAAUUCCCUAUUUUAAAGUCUUCACUGGUUUCAAGUGACCACUGAGCAAAAACUUUAGUCAAACAACCUCAUAUUUCAAUUGUGACUAUUCCAGCAGCUCCAGAACAUCGAUUUUAGGCUAGGUGGACCUUUGGUUUGGGUCCUGAGGCACCCGACCUCAUUUUGAUCUAUUGAUCGAAAAGUUAAGAAAAUGGAAUAUGGGUGUGAGACCCAUUUUUUGUCAAAACAACAUUGGAUGAAAAUCUCGACUGUGCCAUUGAGUUUAGAAUGUCAAAUUUGAUAGGGUAUAAUAGUACGUUCGCAUAUACAAGAUUUUGAAUGAAUCUCGAUGGGUUGGCGGAGACUUGGAAAAUUCCAACUCUCAGUUGUUCUGGAGCACCCCGAUCGCAUGCCAUGGAUUGUGAAUAGCGAUUUGGAAGCACCCAGCAAAUGCUGCAAAAGCAAUAUAAUGUGUCGCGAUAGUGACUCACCUAGCAGCCAAUAGAUACCGCGAUUGCAAAGGUCGGGUCGUGAUAGCGACUCCCGAACACCUGGAAAGGGUAUAAAUAUCACCCUUUUAGCCCAUUUUUGCCCAUUCUUCACAUAUUUCCAAGUGCGUUAAACUCUAAGUAUUGAGAGAGCUUAGAAUUAGAGUUUUUUUGGUUAUUUGGAGAGCUUGGAUAACGAUUUUUUUGUGAUCCCCCUUCAAAAUUGUGGUAAGAUUUCUUCAUGUUCGUGGUUGAUUUUCCCUUUUUCUCUAAAAUUCCUAAAGCUUGGUGACUUGAUUUUAGCACUAGUGUAGCUCGAAUUCAUCCAUUUUAAGGGUAAAUACUCCUUCAGCAUAAGGGAAUGUUGGGUUGGCUUCAGAAAUACGAUUUUCAUAAAUGAGACCCACAUGAGAUUUUUGAGUAAUUUUGGAUUCGAAGCACAAUAGUGAAGUAUUGGUAUCAUUAUUCUUGUUGUGAUGAGUAAAUUGUGAUUUUUAUAGCGUGGUAUCUUACGGAAGCUUCUCGAAAGGGAAAAUUAAUGAUUUAGCGGAUUCUUUGAAUUUUUCUCGGUGUUCAGGUAGGCUAGGUUUACCCUAUAUAUAGGUUGGGCUAAUUCAUAGUAUAUUUAUGAUAGAAUGUUGGAUUUUGGAUGGGUUUCGGUAUUGGUUUGAUAAAUUGAAAUGCUUGGGUUAGUUGGACCGUAUAGGCUACUCCAGAAUUGUAAUUUAGGCAUAUUUGACCUAGUUGCUCAAGUUUUAGUUGAAAUUCCUAUCUUAGGGUUAACUAAGAAUUUUAAAAUCUAAAAGUGAAUUUAGAUACCUUAGUCUAGUUUGGGGGUAGAAUUUGCCUUAAAUUGUAUUUAGGGGAUUUAGAAGUGGACUCUUUGACUCACCUUAGGUUAAGAUUCGUGUUAAUAUUUGUAACAUUUUAUACGCUUAUUAUAUAUAUGAAAAAUGCUUACUAAGGUAAUGUUGAGAAGAUUUGGUACUCGAUAGUUAUGAUGGGUUGAUAUUGAGAGUUGAUGCUUAUUAGUUAUGAUAUUAAUUAUAUAUACCCGGUUCAAGUUUGGAAAAUGAUUAUGAUAUUGGUUAUAUAUACCGGUUUGAGUCCGGAAGAUGAUUAUGCCAUUGAUGAUAUAUUUAUAGAUUCAAGUUCAACCACUGAAUAUAUUACUGAUUCGAGUUUGGACAUAAAGGUUUUUUCACCCCAGCCAGCGAUGCCUAAGGAUGUGAGUAUGGUAGGUUCGAUGAUGAUUAAGGCUAUUUAUUAUUGUACUAGACCUACAUCUCCGAUUGAGGUUCGUAGCUUUAUUGGCUUGGCUGGUUAUUAGAUUUUUAAUAGAUGGUUUUGGUACUAUUUCAACUCCUAUGACCUAAUUGACUCAGAAUAAGGUUCCUUUUUAUUGGUUCGAGGAGUGAGUCGAGCUUUGGAAAGCUCAAGUAGGUUCUUACUUCAGCUCCUCUUUUAGCUCUUUCUAUUGAAGGUGAGUGAUUCACCUUGUAUUGUGAUGCUUCUAGCAUUGGUUUGGGUUGUGCAUUGAUGUAUCAAGGUCAUGUUAUUACCUAUGCUUCGAGGCAACAUAGGAUGUAUGAGAGCAACUACUCCACUCAUGACUUGGAGUUGGCGGUGGUAGUUUAGAUUUGGAGGCAUUAUCUCUGUGAUGUGAAUUGUGAGAUUUUCACAGAUCAUCACAGUCUUCAGCAUCUUAUGACCCGAAGAGAGUUUAAUGCUAGGCAACGUAGAUAGAUGGAGUUGCUUAAGGACUAUGAUAUCUCUAUUUUAUAUCAUCCAGGAAAGAGAAAUAUGGUAGCUAACGCCUUAAGUUAGAAGGUAGUGAGUAUGUGUAACUUGCCUUAUAUUUUAGUUUCUCGGAGGCUAUUGGCGUGGGACAUUCAAUCCUUAGCCAACUUGAUAGUUAGGCUUGAUAUUUUAGACUCUAGGAGGAUGCUUUCUAGUGUUGAGGCUUGGUCCUCACUAUUUGAGCAGAUUCGGGAUCCUUAGUUUGAGGGUAAUAAACUUUGUAUCCUUCGAGAUAAGGUGUUGAGUGGUUAGUCCAAGAGGGCUACCAUAGAUUUUGAGGGCAUCUUGAGAUUUAAUAGCCAUAUUUGUGUUCCAAGGAUCGAUGCUUGAUUCAGUUGAUUUUGCAUGAGGCUAAUUGCUCCAGGUAUUCUAUUUAUUCGGGUACAACUAAGAUGUAUAGUGAUUUGAGACAACAUUAUUAGUGGAGUGGCAUGAAGAUAGAUGUGUCAGACUUUGUAGCUCAUUGCCUAUGCUGUCAACGGUGAAGGCCGAGCAUCAACGACCUGGUGGAUUGAUUCAUAGGUUGUUCGUUCUCGAGUGGAAAUAGGAGCGGAUCACCAUACACUUUGUUAUUGGUUUGCCUCACACUUUCCAUGGUUUUGAUGGUAUUUGGGUUAUUGUGCAUCAAUUAACUAAGUUGACUCAUUUCAUUCCUAUUCAGAUGUCUUUUAGUGCUUAGAGGUUAGCUCAUACCUAUGUGCAUGAGAGAGUGUAUUUGCAUGGUGUGCCUAUAUCUAUCAUUUUAGACUGAGUUUUUGAGUUGACUUCUAGCUUUUGGAGAGAUUUUCAGGAGGAGUUGGGUACUCAGGUGGAUCUUAAUGCAACCUUCCAUCCUCAGAUCGAUGGCCAGUUGAAGCAGACUAUUUAGGUUCUCGAGGAUAUACUUUGAUCCUGUGUUAUAGAUUUAGGAGAGUAGUACUUAGCCUUGGCAGAAUUUGUGAAUGAUAAUUACAGUUAUCAUUCGAAUAUCGAGAUGGCGCUAUUUCAGGCUUUGUAUAGUAGGCAAUGUGGUUCCUCGAUUAGAUGGUUUGAGAUGUUAAAGGUUAGAACACGUUGUACUAACCUGCUUUGUGAGCCCUUAGAUAGAGUCAGGUUUAUUCAAGAUAGGUUGAGAGUAGCUCAGAGUAGGCAGAAGGGCUAUGUAGACCGAAGGACUCAUGCCUUGAGAUUUGGAGUUGGUGAUUCAGUAUUUAUCUGUGUGUCACCCAUGAAUGGUGUGAUGAGGUUCAGGAGAAAAGGCAAGCUCAAACUAGAUAUAUUAGACCAUUCGAGAUUCUUUGCAUAGUUGGUGAGGUGGCUUAUAAGUUAGCCAUACCAUCAGAUUUUGCUGCUGUCCAUCCGGUUUCCAUAUUUCUAUAUUGCGAUGAUACAUUCUUGAUCUGUCUUAUAUGCUUAGAUGUGAUUUAGUUCAGUUGGAUGAGCAGUUGACUUUCGUGGAGGAGCCUAUGCUCAUUUUGGCUAGUGAUGUCAAAUGGUUGCACACUAUGGAGAUUCAUGUAGUUAAGAUUCUAUGGAGGCACCAUCCAGUAGAGGAGGCUACUUAGAAGAUCGAGAGUAAGAUGAAGACCCAGUAUCCUCACCUAUUUGAGGCUUCAGGUAUAUCCUAAUCCUUGACUUUUGUGGAUGAAAGUCCUUUUAGUAGUGGAUAUUGUAAUGACCUUUUAGGUCUUUUUAGAUAUUUAUUCUUAUUUUUGCCAUUAGAGCUAUUUUAUAGCUGGCCCAGGUUAUUUAUGACUUGCUGAGACUAAUAGUUCGUUUGAUUUUUAGAGUCAAUUCUCUAUUUUGAAGUCUUUACUAGUUCUAAAUGGAUAUCGAGCAAAAACUUUAGUCAAACUACCUCAUAUUCUAAUUCCGACUAUUCCAUCAUCUCCAAAACUUCAAUUUUAGGCUAGAUAGACCUUUAUUUCGGGUCUCAAGGCACCUGGGCUCAUUUUGACUUAUUAGUCAGAUAUAGGUAAGAAAAUGAAAUAUAGGUGUGACACUUACUUUUUUGUCGAAACGACCUCAUACGAAAAUUUUGACUAUGCCAUUGAGUCCGGAAUAUCAAAUUUGAUAGGAUAGCAUCACCCAUUUGCAUAUACAGAAUUUCGAAUAAAUCCCGAGGGGUUGGUAGUGAAUUGGAAAAUUCCUAAGUCUUAGUUGUUCUGGUGCACUCGCGAUUGUGGGCCAUGGAUCGCGAAUAGUGAUCUAGUAGCACCCAGCAAGUGCCGCAAUUAUGAUAUUGUGUCGUGAUAGCAACUCACCUGGCAACCACUAGAUGCUGCGAUCGUGAGGGUCGAGUCGUGAUAUCGACCCCCGAACACUUAGAAGGGUAUAAAUAUUACACUUUUAGUCCAUUUUGCCUAUUCUUUAUCUAUUUCCAAGAGAGUUAAACCCUAAGUAUUGAGACAACUUAGAUUAUGAGCUUGUGGGUGAUUUGGGGAGCUUAGACAAUGAUUAUUUCGUGAUUCUCCUUCAAAAUUGUGGUUAUAUUUCACGUUCGUUGUUGAUUUCCCCUUUUCUUCUCUAAAAAACCUAAAGAUUUGUGAAUUGAUUUUAGCACCAAUGUAGCUCUCACCCAUUUUUGAGGGUAAGUACUCCUUGAACAUAAGAAAAUACUGGAUUGGCUUCGAAAAUGCAAUUUUCGUAAAUAUGACCCACAUGAAAUUUUUGAGUAAUUUUGGACCCAAAGCACAAUAGUGCAAUAUAGGUAUCAUUAUUCUCAUUGUGACGAGUAUAUUGUGAUUUUGAUAGCGUGACACCUUGCGAAAGCUUCUUAGAAGGGAAAAUAAGUGAUGUAGCAAAUUCUUUGGGCUUUCUUCAGCGUCCAGGUAGGUUAGGUUUAUCCUAUAUAUAUAGAUUGAGCUAAUUCAUAGUACAUUUAUGAUAUAAUGUUGGAUUCAGGAUGGGUUUAGGUAUACGUGAUAUAAGUUAAAAUGCUUGGGUUAGUUGGACAGUUUAGGCUACUCGAGAAUUGUAAUUUUGGCAUAUUUGACCUAGUUGCUCAUGUUUUAGGUAAAAUUCCUAUCUUAGGGUUAAUUAAGUAUUUUUUAACAUCUAAAAGUGAAUUGAAAUACCUUAGUCUAGCUUGGGGGUAAAAUUUAUCUUAAAUUGUAUUUUGGGGGUUUAGAAGUGGACUCUUUGACCCACCUUAGGCCAAGAUUCAUAUUAAUCCUUGCAACCUUUAUUGCACUUGUUAUAUAUCUUGAAAAUGCUUUCUAAGGUAGUGUUGAGAAGAUUUAGAACCCGAUGGUUAGGAUGAGUUGAUAUUGAGAGUUGAUGCUUAUUAGUUAUGCUAUUGAUUAUGUUAUUUUGAUUAUAUAUACCUGGUUCGAGUCCGAAAGAUGAUUAUGCUAUUGAUUAUAUUGACCCGGUUUGAGGCUAGAAGAUGAUUAUGAUAUUGAUUUUAUAUAUCCGGUUUAAGCUCAAAAGAUGAUUAUGACAGAUGAUAUACUUACCAGUUUAAGUUCGACCAUUGACUAUAUGUACCGAUUCAUAUCCGGAUACACAUUAUGAUAUGAUUAUAUAUAUAUAUGAUACCGGUUCAAGUUCAAAUAUUGGGGUGUGUAGUUGAUAAUGUGGAUACCAGUUCAAGUCCAGAAUUGGAGAAUGGACAUAGUGUCUUAUGUCAUUGAUAGAUUCUAGUUGUAACAUGAGAGUUGGUAAAUGAUGGUGGUUCGGGUUAUACUUUUCUUAAUUGUACCCUCCAAGCUUAUGGGGACCUGCGGUGGGUUAUUUACUUUUCCAUACUUUUUGGCUUAUAGGGGUAAAUUUUGUAGUUAUGAUCGUAUGUGUUUGAUUCAUUAUGUUAUGUUAUUAUUCCGUUUAUUUACUUAUUUCUGCACAGUAAUAUUGGAGUUGUUCAGGUUCACCUCUUUAUCUUAACCUAGUUAUGUUAUCUUGCACUUUAUCAUAUUUAAAUCAUGAUUUAGCUCAGUUGAUCGGUGAUGCCUAUUGAGUAUCCAUGAUUUUGGUACUCAUACUACACUUCUAUACUUUUUUGGUGCAGAUCUGAGUACUAUUUGUCGUCGUUGAUUCGUUGAUCGUGC